GCGCCGAGUAAAUCGAUGACUCCUCACCUGACAGCCGCAGCUCAAACUCUCUCUGCGCGUGCGCUUACUGGUGGGCUGGAGGAAGUGGCAGAGCGAGGGCGGGGGGAAGUGGCUGGAAAGGCAACUAGCGAAGGAAAGGAAGAACCAUGUGCUGAAACAGUUCCUCACUUUGAUGUUGUGGGGAGGUGGCCUCCAGUUUGAUACCAUCUUUAGGACAGUCAGUGUCCUUCCAGCCAAGUCUCCUCUGACUCCUGGGAUUCAGGUUGCUCUCCUCCAGCAAUCUGAGGCUCUAUUUGAAUCUCAAGCAGUCCAGUUUGAGGCCCCGGAGAAAGAGAAUUGGUGUCAGUGCCCGAUUCUCUCACCAGGUUACCAUCUGACAGUAUUACAUAGAUGGAUCUGGCCAAGAGUUCAUAACUGUUAGAAGAGGAUGAGAUACUGUACAUCCAUGCAGCAAUACUUCAGCUGCAGAGGAAAACACCAUGGGAACUGCAGAGACUGAAGAGAGACCACAUCCUGUUCCAUGAACGACUAAGUUAUGGUUCUUGCACUUUACACUGUGAGAAGGAAGUCACCCACUGCCAACUCAGUGGCGGUGGUCUGCAUGCUACAUGCUGCUCUCUGGGUUCUAAAAAGAGCCAGUGCAUUUUCCUGUCCUUGGGUAGUCACCCUGGGCUGUCUGAUAAUCUGUCAAUGGUCCUCCUGUGGUAGGAGGCCAGGGCAAGGCAAGGUGGCUGGAGCAGUGGGUGUAUGUUGCUUUUUGAGAAGACUUAAUAACCAUGGGCACAGAGCUUCAGCGCCCAAGCCUGACACAGGAUCAAGCUGAGCCCUGUACCUGGUACCAGUCUUCUGACAUGAGAACAGGCUGAACCUGGAACCUGAUAUCAAUCUUGUAGCAGGAGAUCAAAUUUGACUACCUGGAUCAACUAUCAAAGAAAACAUAAAACAACAGUAGCAAUCGACAUUUGGAGCCAUUGCCCUCUUGUUCUUGCAGUGGUCCAUUCUGCUUGCAGGACUCAUCUUCUUUCUUUUUUUCAAAGCACCCUUUUCUCCUGUAGCACUUCCUUUGUGCUUCUUCUUUUUCUUUUCAUUUUCUUAUUUCAACCCUAACAUAAGCAUAAUCUUUCACAUCUACCAAUUGUCCUGAACAAUUCAUUGAUCAGGACAAAUAACCUAGAAAACAGUGCUGGUCCCUACCGCAUCUGGUAACACACUGUGGGGUUCUGAAUGAUUUAGAGAAACCAGUAAUUGAAACUGGGGCUGGAAGGGAAUGAAGGGAGAGAAGAGCUUAUCAGAUCUUGUGAGAAGCUAUAGUUGUAGAGAACUAUAUAGUCUUAAGAAGCCUUACAGCAUACAAACUCGUCACUGGUACUGUAAAACAACUAGCAUUCCCCUAUAACCAGAUUCUGUAUAGUCUCUGACCUCUAGCUGGUCAAACCCAGCCAAAAACUCACAUUUUAAAACAUGAUAGAAGAGGAAAUGUGUUUCCCUGAAGUUCUAUUCAGUUUACUUCCGUUAGGUAACGUGAUUUACAUUCCUAUGAAACAAGUAUUUUUUUAUCGAACUAAACUGAGAGCAUAGCUGUAACUAUUGUAUCCAAGCCUUAUUUAUCUCCUGAUGAUACAAUUUGCUUAUUUUAGGGGCAACAGAAAAAUUACUGCAAGCACUUGGGAAUAAAACUGUGUCAAGACGUCUACAUUAUAUGGAUGAUAACUGAGGUGUCUCUUAGUGCUUCCGAAUACACAUAUAUUUUCCUAUCUUAUCUACAUGUGUUUUAUGUUCCUCAAUAAAUGCUUUCAAUAUCUUGCUGCAAUAGUUUUGAGAGGGAGUCAUGUAUAAAUGAAAACACAUCAUAAAACCAUGGUGGACAUAUUUUGUCUAAUUUAUGUUAGAACCACAAAAUGUAUGGCAAUUUGUUUGUAUUUCUUUCUCUCCCCGGGUGGUGAUUACAUUAAGAAAUUUAUGUAGAGUGAAAUUAUUUUAACUAUAAGCAUUAAAUAAUUCUAAGCAUUAUUGUUGAACUCCAAAUCAGGUUGGCAUUUUCUCAGGUGGUAGGAAUUAUGUUGCUUAGCCUUCCUAAAAAGCAGCCCUCUCACCCCCAAUCAGGAAGGAAAUAAUUUUGUGCAGUAAUUUCCUUUUAUUUACUUUAGCCUACUUUAUUCUUUGUGAACAUAUUUAUUUCAGAGACAAAAAAUAAUUCAGAAAUUACUAUUACCUCUGAGGCAUACUACUGUGUAAAUGUUAAUAGUAAAGUGUCAUUAGUGUACACCAAUAUCAUACCCUCAGGUUUGGUAGAAUCUGAGAUAGACUAUGAUUAUGUAUGCAAUCCAUAAAGUUUGGAAGAAGUUUGCCUUUGAAAGCCUGAUAACUGAGCCAAAGAAGUGUGAAAGAAAACCAGAAUUUCAUACAGCUCAGUAUUGUGAGACGUGUAAGUUCUGCUCAAUAUAACAUUGUCCUCUCUGGAAAUCAGCUAAAAUAACAUCACACACCUGCCAUUCCCCUAGGAGACUAGAAAAAUAAGAUCCCAGUCCCAGGAGACCCACCUAACAGGCAAAAUGUUAUGCAGAUGAAAUUCUUAAGUACAGCAGGUUUUGCUUCUAUAAUUCACCACUGUAAAUUCUUUUUAAGCUUUAAUCUCUAGGAUAUUUGAAAAUUCAAAUUUAAAAAAGAAAACUUUCUAAGACUAUUGGGUCCCCUUUGUGUAAUUUCAAGCAUAACAUCACUGACAUCAUGGGCGUAUCCCAGAAGUCCUAAUCCAGUGCUUCUCAGAUGUAAAUGUACAUUCAGUUCAUCUGGAAAUUUUGUUAAAAUUUUGACUUCUUGGGCCUAGGAUGAGACCUGAGAAGCUGCAUUUAUAACAAGUUGUCAGGUAAUGCUGAUGCUGCAGGCCCUUCACAUUUUUGGUACCAAGACCCUCAGCAUUUCCAGGCAGAAAGAAGGAUCAUAAAUUUGAGGCCAGCAUGGGCGAUUUAGCAAGAUCCUAGGGGUGGAGAUGUAGUUCAGUGGUAGAACACUUGCCUAGCAUGUGCAAGAUCCUAAGUUCAAUUCGCAGUAACUUCAAAAAAUAUUUGAAUAUAGGGUAGAUUAUCUCAGUAUUGCAUAAUUAGCCAUACAGCCAAAGAGAUACUGUAAGAUUCUGAAUAGUUAUCUUAGCCAAUUUUCUGUUACUAAAACAAAAUUCCUGAGAUCAAGUCUUUUAUAAAGAAGAGAAACAUAUUUGGCUCACUGUUCUGGAGCCUGGUAGCUCCAGGAACACGGCAUAGGUAUCUGUCCACAUGUGGUAUCUUCUUGCUACAUCACAACAGGACAGAAAGAAACAGCUGGUGAGCCAGAGCUAGUGAACCAGAGAGAGCUCACCUUUACAACAGAGCCACUGUCAUGAUAACCCAUUAAUCCAUUGAUCCAUAGAUUGAUCCAUAACCUCUAAAUCAUGGUCUUU